rnacentral:rRNA from 1 species
UACGUAGGGCGCAAGCGUUAUCCGGAAUUAUUGGGCGUAAAGAGCUCGUAGGCGGUUUGUCGCGUCUGCUGUGAAAGACCGGGGCUCAACUCCGGUUCUGCAGUGGGUACGGGCAGACUAGAGUGCUGUAGGGGAGAGUGGAAUUUACGGUGUAGCGGUGAAAUGCGCAGAUAUCAGGAGGAACACCGGUGGCGAAGGCGGUUCUCUGGGCAGUACCUGACGCUGAGGAGCGAAAGUGUGGGGAGCGAACAGG